rnacentral:rRNA from 1 species
AGAGUUUGAUCCUGGCUCAGAACGAACGCUGGCGGCGCGUUUUAAGCAUGCAAGUCGAACGGUAAUACAGUGCUUGCACUGUAUGAGAGUGGCGGACGGGUGAGUAACACGUAGAUAAUCUGCCCUUGGAUUGGGGAUAGCAUAUGGAAACAUAUGGUAAUACCGAAUAAGCUCCUAACUGCAAAAGUAGAAUGGAGGAAAGGUGCUUAGGCACCGUCCGGGGAUGAGUCUGCGGCUCAUUAGCUAGUUGGUGGGGUAAAGGCCUACCAAGGCAACGAUGAGUAGCCGGCCUGAGAGGGUGGACGGCCACACUGGGACUGAGACACGGCCCAGACUCCUACGGGAGGCAGCAGCUAAGAAUCUUCCGCAAUGGGGGAAACCCUGACGGAGCGACGCCGCGUGAACGAAGAAGGCGGAAACGUUGUAAAGUUCUUUUCUUGGGGAGGAAUAAGCACAGCAGGUAAUGGUUGUGUGAUGACGUUAACCAAGGAAUAAGCCCCGGCUAAUUACGUGCCAGCAGCCGCGGUAACACGUAAGGGGCAAGCGUUGUUCGGAAUUAUUGGGCGUAAAGGGCGCGUAGGCGGUUUUACAAGUCUGGUGUGAAAUAUCUCAGCUCAACUGAGAAAACGCGCUGGAAACUGUAAGACUAGAAUCUAGGAGGGGAAGCUGGAAUUCCUGGUGUAGGGGUGAAAUCUGUAGAUAUCAGGAAGAACACCGGUGGCGAAGGCGAGCUUCUGGCCAUAGAUUGACGCUGAGGCGCGAAAGCGUGGGGAGCGAACAGGAUUAGAUACCCUGGUAGUCCACGCUGUAAACGAUGUGCACUAGGUGUUGGGCCUUAAGGCUCAGUGCCGUAGCUAACGCGUUAAGUGCACCGCCUGGGGGAGUAUGCCCGCAAGGGUGAAACUCAAAGGAAUUGACGGGGGCCCGCACAAGCGGUGGAGCAUGUGGUUUAAUUCGAUGAUACGCGAGGAACCUUACCAGGGCUUGACAUAUUUUUGACGUUCACAGAGAUGUGGAUUUCUCUUCGGAGACAAUUAUACAGGUGCUGCAUGGUUGUCGUCAGCUCGUGCUGUGAAGUGUUGGGUUAAGUCCCGCAACGAGCGCAACCCCUACUGUCUGUUGCCAUCAUUAAGUUGGGGACUCAGACGGUACUGCCGGUGACAAACCGGAGGAAGGUGGGGACGACGUCAAAUCAUCAUGGCCCUUAUGUCCUGGGCUACACACGUGCUACAAUGGCUGGUACAGAGCGACGCGAGACCGCGAGGUGGAGCAAAUCGCAGAAAGCCAGUCCCAGUACAGAUUGAAGUCUGAAACUCGACUUCAUGAAGGUGGAAUCGCUAGUAAUCGCGCAUCAGCAUGGCGCGGUGAAUACGUUCCCGGGCCUUGUACACACCGCCCGUCACACCACCCGAGUUGGGGGUACCCGAAGUCGCUAGUCUAACCAGUAAUGGAGGACGGCGCCGAAGGUAUGCCUGGUAAGGGGGGUGAAGUCGUAACAAGGUAACC